CCAGCGGCCAGGCCCGGCCCCGUUCCCCGCCCCGGGGGUUCCCGCGGGACGGCGGCGGCCCAGCGCCUCCUUCGUCUCCUGCGCAGGGCCCGCGGGGAGUUCCCGGCCGGGAAGUUUGCGGCCGGCGGCGGGGGGAGCCCGCGGGGCUCCUGUGGAGGGGCGAUGCCGCCUAAGGAUCGCGGCAAAGGCAAGCUGCCGGUUCCUCUCCCAAGAGACAUGAUCCUGAAAGACACCGAAGGGAAAGUGUGGCGACUGGGCAGUCAGAUCGGCCAGGGAGGAUUUGGCUUGAUCUACUUAGCUUCCCCUCAAACUCAUGUUCCUGUAGAAGAUGAUGCAGUGCAUGUAAUUAAAGUGGAAUAUCUUGAAAAUGGCCCCUUAUUUUCUGAACUGAAAUUUUACCAGAGGGCUGCAAAACAAGAGCAGAUAAGAAAAUGGAUGAAUCUCAAAAAAAUAAGAUGUUUAGGAAUUCCAGUGUUUUGGGGAUCAGGCUUGGCUGAGCACAAGGGAAAAAGCUAUAGAUUCAUGGUCAUGGAGAGACUGGGGGAAGACCUUCAGAGAAUCUUUGAAGAUUGUGGAAGCAGAUUUAAGAAGGAGACUGUUCUGCAACUUGGGGCACGAAUGCUGGAUACUUUGGAAUACAUACAUGAAAAUGAGUAUGUUCAUGGUGAUAUUAAAGCAGCAAAUCUACUUUUGGGCUACACCAAUCCACACGAGGUUUAUCUUGCAGAUUAUGGACUUUCCUACAGAUAUUGUCCCAAUGGGAACCACAAACAGUAUCAGGAAAAUCCUAGGAAGGGCCAUAAUGGGACAAUAGAGUUUACCAGCGUAGAUGCCCACAAGGGAGUAGCCCCAUCCAGACGAGGUGACCUUGAAAUCCUUGGCUACUGCAUGCUGCAAUGGUUGUGUGGGAAGCUGCCCUGGGAACAGAACCUGAAGGACCCUGUAGCUGUCCAGGCUGCGAAAACAAGACUUAUGGAUGAGCUCCCAGAUUCAGUGAUGGAAUGGGAUUCUUCUGGAGGCAGCUGUCGUGAACUCUCCAAGUUUCUGGCAUGUGUUUAUGGCUUAGCUUAUGAUGAGAAGCCAAAGUAUCAAGUGCUCAAGAAAAUCCUGCUGGAUGGGCUGGAGUCAAGUGGAAUUCGCUACGAUGGCCCUCUGGAAUUUUCCACUGCAGCUUGCACACGGAAUCACACUGCUCCUAAAGUGCCCAAACAGGUUCGCUUGCCAAAGCCUAAACCAAAACCAGUUCAGCAGAAGCAAAAGAAGAUGGAAGGUGACGCAGAUGAAGAAUACAUCUGCCAAAACAAGGCCUGUGCUGGGGCAACAGACAGACACCCCCACAAGGAAGAAAAGCCAAGUAAAUUAAACAGGAUGCUUCACCAACCAGAGCCUCAGCAGGGUCCCUUACUGAAGCCCUCCCUGGAACCAGUGCCACAGAAGCAAAACAAGGUGAAAGAGGAAGAACCCAACGGGCUGAGCAGGCCCCGUGCUCGGGUGACCCGCCGGCACUUCCAGCCUGAGGAGAGGCCACGCACGAUUCGGGAGCCCAACCAGGCACAGGAGAAAGACACUGCAAGAGAAUUGCCCCCCUUCAGCCCCCAAGCACUAUUGUCAGAAUCCAGAAAGGAACACGAUCAACUCUUAACUGUGGAUCACCCUGUGUCAUGGCAAGAAACUGGUUCUGACUUCACUCGUCCUUCUCUUUCUGCUAUAUUUAGGCUUGCAUUUACUGACAGAACAUACCAUUACACUACAGCAAUACUUGUACUCCUGCUACUGAUAGUACUUUCCUUGUACUUGCUUUGAUGGCACCAUCUCAGGGGUUUCAGUGCACGUGUGGUGAUGCUCCCAUCACAGUUUCUUCUCAGAGUUUCUUCAUUGAAGAUUUCAGUGUCAGUGGCUUGAAAAAGAUUUUUAAAUAACCCUGUCAGUACAGAUCUGCACUCAAUAGUUACACAUGCACUAUUUGUACAAGGCUCUUCUGUGUAACAAAUAUUGGGAUUCCUUUUUACUUUCUUUUGGUUUUGAAACUGGACCUUUGCUACAGCAACAUUAAAAAUGUAUCAUGAAAUACAAGGGGGUGUGAUAUUGAAUUACUCUGACACCAGCAUGUUGGUAACUUGUACCGUGUCAGCAAACCUUUAGUUAAAUCCUGAUGCAGUAAAUGCAUGGGAAUUUAAAGUUUUCCUCUCUUUAUUCCUCAGUGUAAAGGGAAGAUAGUAGCCACAAAUUCCAUUUUGGAAAAGACUCUGUUACUGGUUUUGCCUUUAUCUAAGCUGCCACACAUGGUUUAGUUUGAUCACUCAUUUCAUUGACUUUCCUUACCUUAUUACAAUAUGGACAUUCACCAAAGAUGACAUUAAAGCUCUGUCUGCUGGAAGGAAGACCUUGUAGCCACUGCAACACAACCUCCAGCUAAAGCAGACAAAGAAGCUGUUUGGUAAAUUACUUCAGAUACUGGUAAUGAAAACAUCUGCAAUUUAAAAAAACAACCCCACAGAUGUUGACAACUUGGUCUUCAGAUGCAAAUAUCAAAUGUGCCUCUUUUUCAGCUAAUAAAUUUGAAGUCAAGCAUCUUGACUGAAAGAACAUUUCAAAAGAAGGUUCUAUUAAGCCCACAGCUGUCUCCUGGGCCCCACAGCCACAAAGAUGAUACAUAUAUGAAAUCCCUCAUAUUAUUUUUAAGUAGCUAUAUACAACUUUAUACAGCAAUAAAAAAAAUAAAUCACAAAUUCAGUUGCUCAGUUUUAACAUCAUAGGAACCCAGAGAGUAAGUUUUGGUACAGACACUCAUCAAGAAUGUCUUAAUGCCUCAAGAAGGGAUUUUUAUCAAAGAGGUAAAGCCACGUUAUAGAGAAAAACUAAACCAGAUGUUCCACAUUUCUAUUGUGCUGCUUCAUCUUUAAAGGUUUACUUCAGUUAAAAUCAUGCUUACAGGACAAAUAAACAAAUUAAUGAAAUUUAUAAUAAAAUUAUUAAUAAUUUAAAGG